rnacentral:rRNA from 1 species
CCUACGGGUGACAGCAGUAGGGAAUCUUCCACAAUGGGCGAAAGCCUGAUGGAGCAACGCCGCGUGGGUGAAGAAGGUCUUCGGAUCGUAAAACCCUGUUGUUAGAGAAGAAAGUGCGUGAGAGUAACUGUUCACGUUUCGACGGUAUCUAACCAGAAAGCCACGGCUAACUACGUGCCAGCAGCCGCGGUAAUACGUAGGGGGCAAGCGUUAUCCGGAUUUAUUGGGCGUAAAGGGAACGCAGGCGGUCUUUUAAGUCUGAUGUGAAAGCCUUCGGCUUAACCGGAGUAGUGCAUUGGAAACUGGGAGACUUGAGUGCAGGAGAGGAAAGUGGAACUCCAUGUGUAGCGGUGAAAUGCGUAGAUAUAUGGAAGAACACCAGUGGCGAAGGCGGCUUUCUGGUCUGUAACUGACGCUGAGGCUCGAAAGCGUGGGUAGCAAACAGGAUUAGAUACCCUGGUAGUC